GGAAGUGCUAUAGAGCGAUAAGGAAGCUGGAAUGGUAAAUCAAAGCCUCGAGAGGAAGGAUACGAAGGGGCACAAAAGUAUAAAUCUGAGCUGAGCAAGGAGCUGCUGGAACCCUCAGAGGGAUGCGAAGAAAGGUGCUGUGUGACAGUGAAGACGAGCAAAAGCAGAAGGAUGCAGAGCUCUAAGCUCUUCUCACCUUCAAGAAAUUAGGAGUACUUUUUAUUUGGAUGAGAAUUUCAAUGGAAUUCCCAGGACUGAUGUCCCACAAGGCUCCUCUUGUGAGGUGUCACGAGUUGCCCAGGAGACAGACUGAGCAACUGAGCCAUCCUGCAAGUUUUUGAAAGAGAGAUUUAUAUAUCAAUGUGUUACGGGAAAAAAUACCUCUGCUCAUACACAUGGUCAACAACAGAGAAAACAGAAAAUGCACCAGGAGAGGGGGGAUUACAGCCCAGAAGGAUCGUUCCUGCGAGAUGCCAAGUGCUGUCUCACCAGUGCUCACCUGGACUGCUUGCAUCUGGCUGGAUGGUGGAACCCCCAUCCCCAGUACUGACCAUUUGUGAUUUUUCAUGCCACGCAAUCCAUCACUGCUCCUGGGAGAUUUUUGCCUUUCAUGCUGCCCAAGCCUGAAAGCCGUAAACUCUGCAGUGAGGAUGUGGUGAGGUGUGAAUGUACACUUCAUUUCCAAGCGGUUCUAUUCCCCUCAUGUGCUGCACUUGACCAGCAAAGCAGUGGGCACCAUUCUCUGUGCUUUGGCCCAUGUAAUUACGUGUUUUCUAGCUGUGCUCGGUCAAAAGUAAUCAUGGAGUUACAACCUCAGCUGGGACAGAAACCAGUCAAUUUAACAAGCUGAGUUGUGUGCGAUUACAGAAGAUACAUCCUGCCACGGAUUUGUUCUGCCACCCUUUUGCUCUCCUAAGUAGAACACACUGUGGGGACGGAUGGAGCCGGAGAGUGGUUGGAGGUGGCACAGUCUGCCCAUCCUGCUGGGGUGAGAUACGUGUACAGCUUAUGGGUGUGAAGGGACUUUUCCCUCCAGAGAAGUGGGAUGCAUUUAGCUGCAGUCUGCAUAUCUGCCUCAGGCACCUCGUGAGCCCUGCCUUGGGUGUGUUUUUACAGAAUCAGGGAAUUAUCAGAUCUGGAAGGAGAAUGUGCAUGGGCUGAUCUGCAAGCACUGCUGUCCACUUGUACCCAGCUGCAGUCGCAUCCCUCGCUCUGUCCCUUCGCCUCUCCUGUAUUCCCCGACUCAGGCUUUGCCUUGUUCAGCAACAAAGAAAAUGCCUUCAGAAACAUCGUUGCCCUGAUGCAGCAGGAGGCUGUGACAGAUACAGUCACUGCUGCGGAAUGAGCACACAGCAAUGCUGCGCUGUCUGUGCCAUUAUUGUUCUCUGCUGCAAACUGGAAGCGACUGAGAGCAGGGCAAGGCAGCGGCCCUUCUGUAACAGCCCCCCUGGGAUGUGUACACAUCUCCAGUGGUGCAGGAUGUGCACAAUGGGGAUGACUGGCAGCUUCUGCUGUGAGGAUGAUGACAGAAUCCCUCCUCUGGAUUUCACCUUCGUAUCUCAUACCCUCUCAGAGAUUGCUCAGCAGUGAUUGACAUUCAAACUGCCUGCUCUUAAAAAACCAAGUAAGGGAAUGAGAAGGGAAUAUGUAAACUUCCAGGGUAAACUGUGUUGAAAAAUUAAAGAGUGAUACGGUGGUCGGCUCCAGGCUGGUCCUGACUCUCAUGGGAAUAGUUAUGACCUCUCCAAAGGUUCUUCUCAUCAGGGUUUGUUAUGGGGAAGUCACUGUGCAUCCCCUCUGUGAGCAGUGAGAGCUGUGGGACUGCCCGCUCCGUGCUGCACUGACAGCUCUGCAACUGCCAGCAGCAAUAGGUAUGUAUGGAGUGAGGGGAAAAAAUCCAAAGCACAGCAUGAGUUUGCAUUACCUCUUGGUUAUGUGGGUUACUGAAUUCAAGAGCAAGUUUUAGUUACACAGCACAAACAGCCCACUUGUGAAUAUGUCACAGUGAUGCUCUGGCACGCUCAGCAGCCCAUAAAAAUGCCCACUCUGCUUAUACUGUUGAAUUGUUUCAGCCUUUGAUAAACCUUCUGUUUCAGCCUGUUGUAGAUUUUAAAGCAUUUCUUGCUAAUGGGUUUUCACAAUGUGGUUUAAGGGCUGUUGUUAUUAAUAAAUGUAACUGCACUGAAUAGUAAUUUGAUAAAGAUGAAAGAG
rnacentral:lncRNA from 7 species